UACGUAGGGGGCAAGCGUUAUCCGGAAUUACUGGGCGUAAAGGGUGCGUAGGCGGUUUAUCAAGUCAGGGGUGAAAGGCUACGGCUCAACCCUAGUGAGCCUCUGAAACUGGUGAACUUGAGUGUAGGAGAGGAAAGUGGAAUUCCCAGUGUAGCGGUGAAAUGCGUAGAUAUUGGGAGGAACACCAGUGGCGAAAGGCGACUUUCUGGACUACAACUAGACGCUGAGGCACGAAAAGACGUGGGGAGGCAAACAAGGAUUAGAUACCCCGGUACGU
rnacentral:rRNA from 1 species